AGAUUGAACGCUGGCGGCGUGCUUAACACAUGCAAGUCGAGCGGUAACGCGGGAGCAAUCCUGGCGACGAGCGGCGAACGGGUGAGUAAUGCUUGGGAAUCUGCCCAUUAGUGGGGAACAACCAGCCGAAAGGUUGGCUAAUACCGCAUACGCCCUACGGGGGAAAGCGGGGGAUCGAAAGACCUCGCGCUAAUGGAUGAGCCCAAGUCGGAUUAGCUUGUUGGUAGGGUAACGGCCUACCAAGGCGACAAUCCGUAGCUGGUCUGAGAGGACGACCAGCCACACUGGGACUGAGACACGGCCCAGACUCCUACGGGAGGCAGCAGUGGGGAAUAUUGGACAAUGGGGGCAACCCUGAUCCAGCGACGCCGCGUGUGUGAAGAAGGCCUGCGGGUUGUAAAGCACUUUUAGUGGGGAUGAAAAGCUCAGGGUUAACACCUCUGGGUCUUGACCUAACCCACAGAAAAGCACCGGCUAACUCUGUGCCAGCAGCCGC
rnacentral:rRNA from 1 species